UUUCAAACGUUGAUGUAUUCUAAUGUCUGAAGAAGCUUCUGUACUGAUCAAAUCCUCCUUGACAACAAUGUCAAUGGUCACCAAUCUCCUUUUGUAUAUAUAUCUGAUGAAAAGGUUUUUGUAUUUCAAUCUCCACAACCUUAUACAACGCCCAAAUACGUUACUUACCUCCUAGCCCUUCCCCUCUCUCCCUCUCCCUCAUAUUUUCUCUGCUCCUGAAGAGAUGGCUUCUUCCACAACCAUGGCUUUUUUAGCUCUUCUUGUUGUGCUCCUCCCUAUGGCUGCUACUGCUGCUGACAGUUUGACUCCUUUCAUUGGUAUAAUAUUGCCCGCUCUUCUUUCUUAGCUAUUGUCGCCACGCACGGGGCCUGCAAAAAAAGCUUCCGAUUUUCACAUCUGCAUCGCAUUCACGAAUAACAACAACCGAUAAUGGACUGAUCUUCUUGCUCGGUUUCAAUCAAUUUUGCAGAGGAGCUAUGCAACGAAGUGGAAUGUGGAAAGGGGUCGUGCGUCGUGAACACUAGCGCUACAUUUGGCUUUGAAUGCCAGUGCAACGCAGGUUGGAAGCGGACUCGCCUUGACAAUGAAGAUGACUACAAGUUCCUUCCCUGUGUCAUCCCAAACUGUGAGCACACUCNNNNNNNNNNNNNNNNNNNNNNNNNNNNNNNNNNNNNNNNNNNNNNNNNNNNNNNNNNNNNNNNNNNNNNNNNNNNNNNNNNNNNNNNNNNNNNNNNNNNUCUACUCUCUUUUUCUUAUUGGUUCAUGGUAAUUUCAUUUAGUUAUGUCUGCAUGAAAUUCAACCUCCGAAAUUCUGCUUUCUCUCGUGGUUAUUCGUCAUUUCGUCCUCAUGGGAUCAUGAGGGUGUUCGUGCUUGUGCUUACUUUUCUUUUAAUGAAAAGCAAAGUUUGCCGGUGAAGACCUGUUCCAAGAAGCAGCCCUACGGCAUUGACAAGAAAAAUCCAACUUACGUGGCAAUUUCCCACUUCAAAGUUCAAACUCGUGUCCUUUAAACUAUGUUGAAAACAAUAAAUACAAUUUUGAAAAAGGAGAUAACUUGAGAAACUUGGCUGUAUUUUAAUAUGACUUUAACGUGGUGAAUUGGUAUUCUCACAGCGUGGAAUUGGGAAGAGGUGUGCUUACUUGCGCUUAUUGUAUUUGCUACAUCCGGAUAAUAAGGGCUUAUGCUCGCGCUAUUACUUUAAUAAAUCCUAAUAAUAAAUGCAGCACAUUGUCUUUGAAAGUGAUUUAUUUGGGUUUGUUUGGUUUUUUUUUUUUUUUUUGUUCUUUUAUUGCAAGAGCUUUGUAUGAUUAGGUAUUAUUGCGAGAAAUGAAAGCAGAAUAGAAAGCAUGAGAAAAUUUAGUAUAUAGUUCAAUUGAUGGUCGCAUAAGGUUGAAGAUUAUCUGUCACGCUCGAUGUCUCCAUUGGCGUCUCAAUAACUCUAAAUGUACAUUAAAUCACGAAUUUCACAAUUAAUCCAUACUCACAUGAAUUAGUGAUUAAGAUGAGUGAGAUACUAAUUACCAAAUUACAGGGCACAGAAAUAAAGGAUCUCAUUCCCCCGGUAAGUACACAAUAAAAUCCCUAGAAGACCGACCUAUAUGAAAGCUUUGUAAACUCGACUCUAACCUAAAACAUUAAGAUGGAAUAGUUGACCAAUUCGUUGAUCAUAAACAGGAGAAAGUAGCCUUCUAAUGCUGCUCUUGCCUUUGCCCACUCCACCUUCAAGCCUGUUUUUCCUCAUUUUUAUGUAACUCUAAAAAAAUAUAAAUUUUUAUGUACUUGGCAAUCCUUGACACAAAGAAUACAUGAUAAUAACAGAAAAACUCGACAGAAAACCAAUAUGUGUAUAUAUAUACACAUAUUAAUCUCGAGUUUGUCCGAUGUGCAUAUGCUAUAAUAUUGAUAUGAUAUGAAAUACUUGAUUGAUCUUCAAACAAAAUUAAUAAAGAGGGUCAUAUUCACUGUCAAUAAAUAUUUAUCACAUCACUUCACCGAAAUAUUUAUCUUAUCACUUCACCGAAUUGGUAAACCAGUGGUAGGUCUCCUAGCAUUAUCCUAUAUCAUUCUUCUCUAUUUUUUAUGGGUUUCCUUAUGCUAAUCAACUUGCCAGAGAUGGCUGAUUAUAGCUUCAUCUUGUCGAUGCCUACUGUCCUUCUCAGAAGAUUUAGAGAUGUUGGGAUCCUUAUACCUACCUACUUGACAGAAACCCUCUCAUUGAGGAUGAUUCAGCAUCAGAAAAAUGUAAUGCGUGUGUAUCUCAACUACGAUGCUCGUGGCCUCAUCAAUGAAACACUAGAUUAUUCACAGAUUUGUCACAAUUUCUUGCUUCUUUCGUCUUUGGGCCAAAAGGACUUAUCACCAUGGAAGAAAUGGCCAUUAAGUCAACGAUUUGAAGUGUGCAAUGCACGUAGCUAAUUAGGAAGUCCUUCGGAAGCUGCCAUGUGUCUUGAACAGCCAGAUUUUUGGGAAACUUCUCCUAACAAGAAAAAUUUGAACGAUAAAGAUCAACGGUUCACAUGAUUUUAGUUGGAGCUUACAAAGUAUUGACUUUUUUAAAUAUCUCAGGACCUAAAUUCUAGAAUACUUUUGAAAUAAAGAAUGCAACGUACAAAUUUUCAAACAAGAGGAUGGAAAGUGUAAUUAAAGGGAACAUAAAACAUGAAAAUUUUGUAAUUUGCCCUAUUAUACUUUACCAUACCUCUCACCACUCUAAGAAACGAUAAGGUUAUUUGCCAACACGAAUGAUACUUUUCUCUUGAUGACAAAGAAGCUACUUUCUCUAGGUAAAAUCUAAAUUCAUGAAAUACUCUACUAUUCUUAUGAGUUAGGUAACAGGCUGAUUAAAAAAAUUGAUUGAAUUACCUAAUCAAUCAUGGAAUUAUUUGCAUCCCGUGGUAUGAAAAAUUUGAAUUAUACAGACAUAUAAUUCUCCUGUGUAUUAAUAAUUUAAUCCAUUAAGCUAAUCCGGCGGCUUAAUCAACUUUGUCUCCUUUUCCUUCCCCUUGGAGCUGUUCUUUUAGUCUGGUAGGCUUCUAGAAAAGAAGGCAGUGUUUCCCGUGAUCUUAAGCAUCGAGGCGAUGAAGAUUGGGAAACUUACAUUGAAUUCAGACAUAAAGCGACUGCUAUCCUUUAUUGACUUUUCCUAUACAUAUGUACCCAGAUAAUCAUUGUAUGGCUCUUAAUCAAGCAGACUUGUUCAUAAAAACCCCUAAAUAUUCAGGAUGGAUUUGGUUGAAAGAAAAUGGGAGUCAAUCCGAGUUGGCAAAGUGGACCGGCAUUCGAUUCGGAUGCGGGCAGAGCUUGGCUUCAUAUCACCGCAAUUCUCGCUUAGAGCGAUCUCAGAGUUCAUACUCAUUACUCUAUAGAACGUGCCCUAUCCAAUUACGUGAUUCAUAUUAUUGGAGUGGUUCGCAAAAAUUCGCAGGAUCAAUCGAGCCAAAAGAUCCUUAUGUCCGGUGUUAUUUUAAAACAAAACAACAUGAAGUCAAACAUGACAUGAGAACCGAUGAAAAACUGAUGUUUGUAUUUUGUUGAACUAUUCAAAGGAAAAAAUAAUAAUACCUCCAACCAAGAAUUCAAAGUUAAGGAAAAACGUGUAAUUCUAGAAGAGUUUCCAAAAAAAAUUACAACCUCAACAACCUGUUUCAAACGUUGAUGUAUUCUAAUGUCUGAAGAAGCUUCUGUACUGAUCAAAUCCUCCUUGACAACAAUGUCAAUGGUCACCAAUCUCCUUUUGUAUAUAUAUCUGAUGAAAAGGUUUUAGUAUUUCAAUCUCCACAACCUUAUACAACGCCCAAAUACGUUACUUACCUCCUAGCCCUUCCCCUCUCUCCCUCUCCCUCAUAUUUUCUCU
rnacentral:lncRNA from 1 species